AUAAUUCGUCUGGGGUGCCGACAUUCGGCUGAGAUUAUACCCAUCGAACCUGAUGUAGUUUGUACUGCCGAAGGAAGCGCGAGUGGGUCGUAUU
rnacentral:ncRNA from 2 species